rnacentral:rRNA from 1 species
AUUGAACGCUGGCGGCAGGCCUAACACAUGCAAGUCGAGCGGGGUUUUCGGACCUAGCGGCGGACGGGCGAGUAAUGCGUAGGAAGCUGCCCGAUAGAGGGGGAUACCAGUUGGAAACGACUGUUAAUACCGCAUAAUGUCUACGGACCAAAGUGUGGGACCUUCGGGCCACAUGCUAUCGGAUGCGCCUACGUGGGAUUAGCUAGUUGGUGAGGUAAUGGCUCACCAAGGCGACGAUCUCUAGCUGGUUUGAGAGGAUGAUCAGCCACACUGGAACUGAGACACGGUCCAGACUCCUACGGGAGGCAGCAGUGGGGAAUAUUGGACAAUGGGCGCAAGCCUGAUCCAGCCAUGCCGCGUGUGUGAAGAAGGCCUUCGGGUUGUAAAGCACUUUCAGCGAGGAGGAAGGGUUAGUCGUUAAUAGCGGCUAAUUUUGACGUUACUCGCAGAAGAAGCACCGGCUAACUCUGUGCCAGCAGCCGCGGUAACAC